rnacentral:ncRNA from 10 species
AAAGUUCAUCAAGAGUGAGAUUAAGUUCUCCUCCAACCUGCCAACUCCGGCAAGGUGGAAAAAAUGAUGUGGUUAAUCAACAAAUAAUGGAGAUGCA